AUAGGUAACCCAACUCAACUCAAC
rnacentral:siRNA from 1 species